rnacentral:rRNA from 1 species
GACGAACCGUGCGAACGUUGUUCGGAAUCACUGGGCUUAAAGGGCGCGUAGGCGGACUGCCAAGUCCGGGGUGAAAUCCUCCGGCUUAACCGGAGAAUUGCCUGGGAUACUGGCGGUCUUGAGCCAGCCAGGGGCAGUCGGAACAGACGGUGGAGCGGUGAAAUGCGUAGAUAUCGUCUGGAACGCCAAAGGUGAAAACAGACUGCUGGGGCUGUGCUGACGCUGAGACACGAAAGCCAGGGGAGCGAACGGG